rnacentral:tRNA from 1 species
GAGGGCAUAGCUCAUUGUUAGAGUGCAUGCUUAGCAUGCACGAGGUCCUGGGUUCAAUCCCCAGUACCUCCU